GAGGGAUGGCAAGGCAGGUUCUCGGGAAGCCCUUGGAAGCCUGUCAGCCUGAUGGAGUGUUCAUACCAGCAUAUCUUUCAGCUGCUGCAGAGACCGACAAUUGCCCAAUUUGGGGAAAGGUUUGGGGUGCGAUGCUGGUGGCGAACAGGAUUCCACAGGAAAGUCAGGGUGGAAAUGCAGGUUUGAGAGGCUGCAGGUGCACUGAUAAUACUUUGAUGCUGGGAAAAACACAAAACCCGGUUCCACGCGGUGCUUUAGUGGCUAAAAGCGAAAGAGCUGCCUUGGCAGAAUUCAGCUCUAUGAAUCACUUCGGAAAAUUGGUUCGACUGAAUGGCCUUAGGAGGAAAAACGUUUUAAUAGGAUCCAGGGGAGGUUCUGCUGUUUCAAUCUGCUCCUUAAACAGGUGGAGAUUGGACCUUCUCAAUUAUACAAACAGGAGCGCGGGCGCCAGUUGCCUCCUUUAAAGUUUGAGGGGCGGUGGCGGCGGCCGACAGGCGCGGGGGAACGCAGGGUCCUCAACGGGAGUCGCGCCGCCGCCCAUGUCAUUCCACUUCAAGUGACUUCAUGUGAUGUCAGCUGAAUGUAAAAGACAGUGAUCUCACGCGGAGGGGAAGAUGUUUGCCAUCAAAAUGUGACAGAAGAGACACGCUGCAUGGCUCGGAACGCAUCUCCUUGGAGGUGGGGGAAAGAGACUUAGAGGAGAGAGGCUGUGCCCUGGCCCAGCCUGGCUCAGCCUCGCGCGCCAUGGCCAGCUCAGCUUCCCUGGAGACCAUGGUGCCCCCGGCCUGCCCGCGCGCUGGAGCGUCACCAGCCACUUCCAAAACACUAGCCUUCUCCAUCGAGCGCAUCAUGGCCAAGACGUCCGAAC